GGAUGGUCUCGAUCUCUUGACCUCGUGAUCCACCCGCCUCGACGACCAUCCCCGAUAGAGGAGGAUCGGUCUUCGGUCAAGGGUAUAGGAGUAGCUGCGCUCCCCUGCUAGAACCUCCAAACAAGCUCUCAAUGUUUCUUCUUAAAUUGCCUAUAUGUUCUUGCAUAUUGUUCACUUUUCCCAUUAGAGACCUUAGCAUACUGAUGUCAUUAAAC
rnacentral:snRNA from 1 species